rnacentral:lncRNA from 1 species
AUCAGUGUGCAUUCAUGGGAACUGAUAGUAGAACAAGGUGUGUGGCUCUUGACAUUAAAGACCAAGUGGUGCAGGAAAGACCUGCCAGAACAUUAUAGUAAUGGAGAAAGUCUCUUACAAUGAUAUGUUCUGAAGGCAGUAUCAAUUUGUCAAAAAGAUCUGCAAGAUUUGCUGUGCUAAAGCUUUUUACAAUGGGAGAAAAUAAUAUAAAGGAAGACUUAGUGGUCGGGAGCUGAGAUAAUGUAAUGCAAAUGUAAUGGUUUUAAUCACAAACAAGCUCCUUAGAUCAGUUUGGGACUUGUAGGAAGACUUACUGGCCUGUGGUGAGAGUAUGUGACCAAAUGAUCCCUUUUAAUCUUAAACUCUUGGAAGUAUUUUAGCUGCAUUCCAAGCAAUUUGGCUGCCCUCACCUUUUUUUGCUCUCCAGUGACUUCAAGCCGGUUGCUAGUUCACCCAUACGGGACUGAUUUCAGUAAUGAAUGACAGACUUUUUUGCAGAAUGAAGGAGAGACUCUCUCUAACAGGGCCCACAUGCCACGUAGCCAGGGAGGAGUUCACUGCAGCUCCCCUCAGGGAUCUUCCAGGCUCUUCAGCCUGUAAAAGCUGUCCUGCAGGUCAGCAAAGAGGAGGUGGUGGCCACUGGAUACCCAGCACACGGCCUGGCAGAGCACUCCAGUGCACGCCCUCCUUCCCUACCUGGUAACAGAUCUCCCUGGUCUUUGUCAGCAGCAGCACAAACAAGUCACCUUUUCUGCAACGUCCAGGACUUCCAUGAAUGCUGCAGAUGAAUCUUGUGGCUGUAUUGGACCCACUGCUCCGUGACAGUGUUUGAGCUGUCAGAGCUCUGAGCAAGACCCUUCAAUCAAGACAUGUAAUGUUUUAUUGAGAACCUUAGUACUGAACUCAUGUGUUUGGGGUUUGGUGGGUUUAUUUUUGUGGGUUUAUUUGGUUUUUUCUUCCCCCUCAUUCUAUUAACUUGUAUUAAUGCUUCAUUUAUUUGUUAGAGUAACCCAAAUCAUCUUCAGCAUGUAGGAAUACAGCGUGCAAGGAACAGAAUCUGCAAGGAGUACAGGACAUAGUAACAUCAUUCUUCUCUCCACAAAUGAACUUCGUGCAUCUUGUUUUUUGGAUAAGGCUGGGAACUAAAGGGGAUUGCACACAGUUACUAGGACAUUUCAUUUUUUAAAAAAUAAGCUGUUCCUCAUUAUAGUAAAGUCAGGUCUUUCAUGUGCCAAAUCUGAAACUUCAAAAACAUGUUUGAUCAGUAAUUAUUCCAAAAUGCUAAAAAAAAUUCCAGAAACUAGUACAUAUAAUUUGGAUUAUAGUCUUCAUUAGAAUUUUCUAUGGCAUGUAUUUGUCAGCCAUGAUUAUAAAAUUUGAAAAAGACUAUGGAAAAUUGAUAACUGAGCACAUCUCCCACCAGCAUAAUUGCAUAAAUAUAUCACAACAUAUUUAUUUAUCAUGUCUAUUUAUUUUUUUUGGUUUUGUCACUUUCGAGCAGGAUGACCUAACAAUCCAUCAAGAGUACUAAAGUCUAUAACUUAAUAGUUUGAAAUUGAUUGUGGUACUGAUUUAAUAUUUGAAGAAGGAGGAUAUGACAGUAAACAAUGUGGGCAGACUUCAGCUCAUUUUCAGAGAGAAGCUUUAAUGUAGUUUUGUGCCAAAAUGAGCCACAGAUGUAAAUGCACUCAUGCAUUUUAGAUAAAGGAAAGUAUUAUUCAAACUGAGGGGAAUAAAAUCAAUUAUAGGUUAUAUGUUCCUUAGCA